GUGAGUCCCACAGGGGACAAGCUGUACAUUACCAGCUACUCCCAGCACAAGCUCCUCACCCUGGCCAGGGAUGGAACACUCCUGGCUUCACUCACAGACCCAGAACUACGAUGCCCAGAGGGUGUAAAUGUGUCCCCUGUAGGCCAUGUGCUGGUUCUCUGUGGAGGCCAGUCCAACACUAUCCUACAGGUGGACUGGGAGGGUAGGAGGAAGCUGGCCACUCUGACUACAGUGUGGAAACCAUGGUCAGUGUGCUACAGCAGCACCACCUCAUCCAUCAUUGUGGGACAGUGGGACAGCAACACAAUCCUGGUGUUCAGAGUGGAAUAAUGUGUACAUUGGCUGCUGAGGCAGAUCAACGAUGCUGAGGAUGUGAUGGACAUGAAUAACCGGAAUAGGCAGAAGGUGCUCCACCAACUACUGGAGACCGUCCCGUCUAGUAUCAGUCAUCAGCAUCAGUUGAGAUUGACAAAAACAAGACAGAGGCAAAGAAAUCAGCAACAUUUUGCUGAAGGUGUCUAAACUGUCCAAAGAGAACACGCGUUUGACACUGUUGCUGACAAAGAAAGGCGGUAAUGACUUGGCUGUGAACACCCAGAGCACACUACAUCCAUGGGACAUGCAUCAAAUGCAAAUUUCGCCCAAGAUUGAAGAUAGGCGCAAAAUGUGAACACGCCUAGCUUUGUUACGAGCACUUCGCACACCGCGAC